rnacentral:rRNA from 1 species
CGUAGGGUGCAAGCGUUAAUCGGAAUUACUGGGCGUAAAGCGUGCGCAGGCGGUGAUGUAAGACAGUCGUGAAAUCCCCGGGCUCAACCUGGGAAUUGCGAUUGUGACUGCAUCGCUGGAGUGCGGCAGAGGGGAUGGAAUUCCGCGUGUAGCAGUGAAAUGCGUAGAUAUGCGGAGGAACACCGAUGGCGAAGGCAAUCCCCUGGGGCCUGCACUGACGCUCAUGCACGAAAGCGUGGGAGCAAACAGGAUU